rnacentral:rRNA from 1 species
GUCGAGCGGUAGAGAGGUGCUUGCACCUCUUGAGAGCGGCGGACGGCUGAGUAAAGCCUAGGAAUCUGCCUGGUAGUGGGGGAUAACGCUCGGAAACGGACGCUAAUACCGCAUACGUCCUACGGGAGAAAGCAGGGGACCUUCGGGCCUUGCGCUAUCAGAUGAGCCUAGGUCGGAUUAGCUAGUUGGUGAGGUAAUGGCUCACCAAGGCGACGAUCCGUAACUGGUCUGAGAGGAUGAUCAGUCACACUGGAACUGAGACACGGUCCAGACUCCUACGGGAGGCAGCAGUGGGGAAUAUUGGACAAUGGGCGAAAGCCUGAUCCAGCCAUGCCGCGUGUGUGAAGAAGGUCUUCGGAUUGUAAAGCACUUUAAGUUGGGAGGAAGGGCAUUAACCUAAUACGUUAGUGUUUUGACGUUACCGACAGAAUAAGCACCGGCUAACUCUGUGCCAGCAGCCGCGGUAAUACAGAGGGUGCAAGCGUUAAUCGGAAUUACUGGGCGUAAAGCGCGCGUAGGUGGUUCGUUAAGUUGGAUGUGAAAUCCCCGGGCUCAACCUGGGAACUGCAUUCAAAACUGUCGAGCUAGAGUAUGGUAGAGGGUGGUGGAAUUUCCUGUGUAGCGGUGAAAUGCGUAGAUAUAGGAA